AUUGAACGCUGGCGGCAUGCUUUACACAUGCAAGUCGAACGGCAGCGCGGGCUUCGGCCUGGCGGCGAGUGGCGAACGGGUGAGUAAUGCAUCGGAACGUGCCCAGUAGUGGGGGAUAGCCCGGCGAAAGCCGGAUUACUACCGCAUACGACCUGCGGGUGAAAGCGGGGGACCGAAAGGCCUCGCGCUAUUGGAGCGGCCGAUGUCGGAUUAGCUAGUUGGUGGGGUAAAGGCUUACCAAGGCGACGAUCCGUAGCUGGUCUGAGAGGACGACCAGCCACACUGGGACUGAGACACGGCCCAGACUCCUACGGGAGGCAGCAGUGGGGAAUUUUGGACAAUGGGGGCAACCCUGAUCCAGCCAUGCCGCGUGCGGGAAGAAGGCCUUCGGGUUGUAAACCGCUUUUGUUCGGGAAGAAAUCCUCUGGGCUAAUACCCCGGGGGGAUGACGGUACCGGAAGAAUAAGCACCGGCUAACUACGUG
rnacentral:rRNA from 1 species